rnacentral:rRNA from 1 species
ACUCCUACGGGAGGCAGCAGUGAGGAAUAUUGCGCAAUGGGCGAAAGCCUGACGCAGCAACGCCGCGUGGAUGAUGAAGUUCUUCGGAAUGUAAAGUCCUUUUGUAGAGGAAGAAUAUGCCGGUUUACCGGCACUGACGGUACUCUACGAAUAAGCCACGGCUAACUCUGUGCCAGCAGCCGCGGUAAU